AACGAACGCUGGCGGCAGGCUUGACACAUGCAAGUCGAGCGCCCCGCAAGGGGAGCGGCAGACGGGUGAGUAACGCGUGGGAAUCUACCCAUCUCUACGGAAUAACGCAUGGAAACGUGUGCUAAUACCGUAUACGUCCUUCGGGAGAAAGAUUUAUCGGAGAUGGAUGUGCCCGCGUUGGAUUAGCUAGUUGGUGGGGUAAAGGCCUACCAAGGCGACGAUCCAUAGCUGGUCUGAGAGGAUGAUCAGCCACACUGGGACUGAGACACGGCCCAGACUCCUACGGGAGGCAGCAGUGGGGAAUAUUGGACAAUGGGCGCAAGCCUGAUCCAGCCAUGCCGCAUGAGUGAUGAAGGCCCUAGGGUUGUAGAGCUCUUUCACCGGUGAAGAUAAUGACGGUAACCGGAGAAGAAGCCCCGGCUAACUUCGUGCCAGCCGCCGCUGUAAGAC
rnacentral:rRNA from 1 species